CUCACUAAUGCUCUUGUGGCUGAAUGGAGUCCCCACAGCAAUGUUCCAUCAUCUAGUGGAAAGCCUUCCCAGAAGAGUGGAGGCUGUUAUAGCAGCAAUGUUCCAUCAUCUAGUGGAAAGCCUUCCCAGAAGAGUGGAGGCUGUUAUAGCAGCAAUGGUCCAACAUCUAGUGGAAAGCCUUCCCAGAAGAGUGGAGGCUGUUAUAGCAGCAAUGUUCCAUCAUCUAGUGGAAAGCCUUCUCAGAAUAGUGGAGGCUGUUAUAGCAGCAAAGGGGGACAAACUCCAUAUUAAUGCCCAUGAUUUUGGAAUGAGAUGUUCAAUGAGCAGGUGUCCACAUACUUUUGGUCAUGUAGUGUAUCUACCUACUGUUAGAUAAUAGCAGGUGUCCACAUACUUUUGGUCAUAUAGUGUAUACAUCUCAUCAUUCAAUGAUUAUUUAAUUAUCACUAUCUCACUAUCUUUGUUUUAUUUUUACACCAGAUGAACUCAAAGGAGAGCUGAAGGAGGUCAGAAUAGAGAGGAUGUAGUCUGUCUUCAUGUUCUAGUACCCAUAAUGCAUCAUGUUUUAUCAUCUCUAUCAUCUGUCUACAGAGGAGGUCAAAGGAGAGAGGGUGAGUUGCACAACUCCAUGAAAGUCUGCAUGCAUUUCAUUGAUUUAAGUGAUUUAAAAAAUUAAUACACUAUAUAUUACAUUGGUUAACUACACUAUAUAUUACACUGAUUAACUACACAAUAUAUUACACUGAUUAACUACA